UCCGAUUUGUCACCGGCAGUCUCCUUAGAGUGCCCGGGCUUGACGCUGGUAACUAAGGACAAGGGUCGCGCUCGUUGCGGGACUUAACCCAACACCUCACGGCACGAGCUGACGACAACCAUGCAGCAUCUGUCACGCUCCCUUGCGGGUCAUCCCUGUUUCCAGGUCUUACCACGUGCAUGUCAAGCCCAGGUAAGGUUCUUCGCGUUGCAUCGAAUUAAACCACACGCUCCGCUGCUUGUGCGGGCCCCCGUCAAUUCCUUUGAGUUUUAGCCUUGCGGCCGUAGUCCCCAGGCGGAGCACUUAUUGCGUUAGCUGCGGGACCGGGGGGGUCGAUACCCCCGACACCUAGUGCUCAUCGUUUACGGCGUGGACUAC
rnacentral:misc_RNA from 1 species